UGGGUCUGGAAGCAUCUCUGCAGAUUCUUUGAGACCAGAAAGAACCUGAGGUCAUGCUGUCCUCCUUAGUUCCAGCAGAUUUCCAAUCAGAGCUGGCUUUCAGUGGGACCAUGGGUGCCUCAUCAUCUCUUUCUGUUCACUAGAGUGAUACACAUCUUUAUCGCUGCCAUGGUCGUUGGGCCUUCUACUGGGGACCAGAUUUUGUAACAGGAAUCAUACAGAUGGAGAGGAAAAAAGAAGAGCUAGAAGACACAAGCUGCCCUGGGAGCAGAGAGGGAAAGUAUGAUAAGAGUCAAAGGAGGAAGAAAUGGAAGUUUUAAUGGAAGAUGAUGAGAAAACAAGAGGCCAAGCUUUGUCUACUGAAAGGGCCUAGAAGCAGAGACACCCCAGUAGCAAUGAGCACCUACAACUCAAAUCUUGGCCUCUAAUUCCAAGAGCUCCUCAAAGAAAUGGCCAGUUCCGGAGCUAGGACAAGCCAGGACAUGGAAGCAGCCUAAGUGUCUAUCGACAGAUGAAUAGAUAAAGAAGAUGUGGCACAGAUAUACAGUGGAACAUUACUCAGCCAUAAAAAGAAAUGAAAUCGAAUUAUUUGUAGUGAGGUGGAUGGACCUAGAGUCUGUCAUAGAGAGUGAAGUAAGUCAGAAAGAGAAAGACAAAUACCAUAUGCUGACACAUAUAUAUGGAAUCUAAGAAAAAAAAAAGGGUAAUGAAGAACCUAGGGGCAGGACAGGAAUAAAGACGCAGACGUAGAGAAUGGACUUGAGGACACUGGGAGGGGGAAGGGUAAGCUGGGAUGAAGUGAGAGAGUGGCAUGGACAUAUAUACACUACCAAAUGUAAAAUAGAUAGCUAGUGGGAAGCAGCCGCAUAGCACAGGGCGAUCAGCUCGGUGCUUUGUGACCGCCUGGAGGGGUGGGAUAGGGAGGGUGGGAGGGAGAUGCAAGAGGGAGGAGAUAUGGGGAUAUAUGUAUAUGUAUAGCUGAUUCACUUUGUCAUAAAGCAGAAACUAACACACCAUUGUAAAGCAGUUAUA